ACUUCCUGGGCAGCUGUGGCUCCCCAGGGCAGACAGUGGCCCAGGGGAGCAGCAGCCAAGUGCUCUGAGGGCGCGUGAGCCCAUCCGUCUUUGCCUCUUGCCACACAGAUGUUGCAGGCAAGUGUGAAACCCUCUGCUCUUUGCUUCUGUGCAGGUGCUGCAGGAAGAGCAGAAUGAGAAGAGGGCUUUAACAGAGACACUGCUCCAAACUCGGGGACAGCUCAGCCAAGCGUGCCAGCAGGUCCAGCAGCUCAGGCAGGAGGUGAAAGAGCAGCAAGAGAAGGGACAGACCAUCAAGGCAAAGCUGCAAGCUGAGCUGCAGGAAGCUCACAAUGAAAUGCUGGCAGUGCAUAGAAGGCACAAGGAAGAACUCCAAGGCAUCAGAGAGGAGAUGAAUGUCCUCCU